AUUGAACGCUGGCGGCAUGCCUUACACAUGCAAGUCGAACGGUAACGGGUCCUUCGGGAUGCCGACGAGUGGCGAACGGGUGAGUAAUAUAUCGGAACGUGCCCAGUCGUGGGGGAUAACUGCUCGAAAGAGCAGCUAAUACCGCAUCCGACCUGAGGGUGAACGGGGGGGAUCGCAAGACCUCUCGCUAUUGGAGCGGCCGAUAUCAGAUUAGCUAGUUGGUGGGGUAAAGGCCUACCAAGGCAACGAUCUGUAGUUGGUCUGAGAGGACGACCAGCCACACUGGGACUGAGACACGGCCCAGACUCCUACGGGAGGCAGCAGUGGGGAAUUUUGGACAAUGGGCGCAAGCCUGAUCCAGCAAUGCCGCGUGCAGGAAGAAGGCCUUCGGGUUGUAAACUGCUUUUGUCAGGGAAGAAAUCGUCUGGGCUAAUACCCCGGGAGGAUGACGGUACCUGAAGAAUAAGCACCGGCUAACUACGUG
rnacentral:rRNA from 1 species